AAAGCCUGAUGCAGCAACGCCGCGUGAGUGAUGAAGGCCUUCGGGUCGUAAACCUCUGUCAGGAGGGAAGAACCGCCAUGGUGCUAAUCAGCCAUGGUCUGACGGUACCUCCAAAGGAAGCACCGACUAACUCCGUGCCAGCAGCCGCGGUAAUACGUAGGGGACAAGCGUUGUCCGGAUUUACUGGGCGUAAAGGGCACGCAGGCGGUUUUUUAAGUCAGAUGUGAAAGGUACCGGCUCAACCGGUGACAUGCAUUUGAAACUGAAAGACUUGAGUAUUGGAGAGGCAAGUGGAAUUCCUAGUGUAGCGGUGAAAUGCGUAGAUAUUAGGAGGAACACCGGUGGCGAAGGCGGCUUGCUGGACAAAUACUGACGCUGAGGUGCGAAAGCGUGGGGAGCAAACA
rnacentral:rRNA from 1 species